rnacentral:sRNA from 1 species
AUCGGACGAGGUAAAGCAGCACUCAUCAGAAGCGACGGACACGACGGACAGGGAAAGCAGCACUCAUCAGAAACAGCAGACACAUCGGACAGGGAAAGCAGCCUUUAUCAGAAACACGGACACUUCGGACAGGAAAGCAGCACUUAUCAGAAACAGCAGACAAAUCGGGCAGGGAAAGCAGCACUCAACAGAAACAGCAGACACAUCGGACAGGGAAAGCAGCACUUAUCGAGAAACAGCGGACACUUCGGACAGGGAAAGCAGCACGUAUCAGAAACAGCAGACAAAUCGGGCAGGGAAAGCAGCACUCAACAGAAACAGCAGACACAUCGGACAGGGAAAGCAGCACUUAUCAGAAACAGCGGACACGUCGGACAGGGAAAGCAGCACUUAUCAGAAACAGCAGACAAAUCGGGCAGGGAWAGCAGCACUCAACAGAAACAUCAGACACAUCGGGCAGGGAUAGCAGCACUCGACAGAAACAGCAGACACAUCCGACAGGGAAAGCAGCACUCAACAGAAACAGCWGACACAUCGGACAGGGAAAGCARCACUCAACAGAAACAGCAGACACAUCGGACAGGGAAAGCARCACUCAACAGAAACAGCAGACAMAUCRGACAGGGAAAGCAACACUCAACAGAAACAGCAGACACAUCRGRCAGGGAAAGCARCACUCAACAGAAACAGCAGACACAUCKGACAGGGAAAGCARCACUCAACAGAAACAWCAGACACAUCRGRCAGGGAAARYAACACUCAACAGAAACAGCAGACACAUCRGRCAGGGAAAGCARCACUCAACAGAAACAGCAGACACAUCGGRCAGGGAAAGCARCACUCAACAGAAACARCAGRCACAUCRGRCAGGGAAAKCAACACUCAACAGAAACAGCAGACACAUCGGRCAGGGAAAGCAGCACUYAWSAGAAACAGCAGACACAUCGGACAGGUAAAGCAGCACUCAACAGAAACAGCAGGCACAUCGGACAGGUAAAGCAGCACUCAACAGAGACAGCAGACACAUCGGACAGGUAAAGCAGCACUCAACAGAGACAGCAGGCACAUCGGGCAGGGAAAGCAGCACUUAUCAGAGACAGCAGACACAUCGGGCAGGUAAAGCAGCACUCAACAGGUACAGCAGACACAUCGGACAGGUAAAGCAGCACUCAACAGGUACAGCAGACACAUUGG